rnacentral:rRNA from 1 species
UGCNANUGGACAAAGUCUGAUGCAGCAACGCCGCGUGGGGGAUGAAGCUUCUCGGAGUGUAAACCCCUUUCGACCUGGACGAAUGCCCGCAAGGGUUUGACGGUACAGGUAUAAGAAGCCCCGGCUAACUACGUGCCAGCAGCCGCGGUAAUACGUAGGGGGCCAGCGUUGCUCGGAAUUACUGGGCGUAAAGGGUCCGUAGGCGGUGUGGUAAGUCGAUAGUGAAAUCUCUGGGCUUAACCCAGAGGCUGCUAACGAAACUACCAUGCUAGAGUGUGAGAGAGGCGAGUGGAAUUACGGGUGUAGCGGUGAAAUGCGUAGAUAUCCGUAGGAACAUCCGAGGCGAAAGCGGCUCGCUGGAUCACAACUGACGCUGAGGGACGAAAGCUAGGGGAGCAAACAGGAUUAGAUACCCUGGUAGUCCUAGCCCUAAACCAUCAGGACUUGGGGUUUGCCCUGUACGGGGCAAGUCCCGUAGCUAACGCGUUAAGUCCUGCGCCUGGGGAGUACGGUCGCAAGGCUGAAACUCAAAAAAAUUGACGGA